rnacentral:pre_miRNA from 1 species
UUAAUAUUUCCUCCGUUCGGAGUUAUUUAUCGCAUAAAUGAAUGUAUCUAGAUGUAUUUUAGUUCUAUAUACAUCCAUUUCCGAGACAAGUAAUUCUGAACGGAGGGAGUACAAU